UACGUAGGGACCAAGCGUUGUUCGGAUUUACUGGGCGUAAAGGGCGCGUAGGCGGCUUCGAUAGUCGGGUGUGAAAUGCCUGGGCUUAACCCAGGAACUGCACUCGAAACUCCGAGGCUCGAGUGUGGGAGAGGUUGGUGGAAUUCCCAGUGUAGAGGUGAAAUUCGUAGAUAUUGGGAAGAACACCGGUGGCGAAGGCGGCCAACUGGACCACAACUGACGCUGAGGCGCGAAAGCGUGGGG
rnacentral:rRNA from 1 species